rnacentral:rRNA from 1 species
UACGUAGGCAGCAAGCGUUGUUCGGAGUUACUGGGCGUAAAGGGUGUGUAGGCGGUUCUUUAAGUUUGCUGUGAAAUCUCCCGGCUUAACCGGGAGGGUGCGGUGAAUACUGAGGGACUAGAGUACGGGAGAGGAAAGUGGAAUUCCUGGUGUAGCGGUGAAAUGCGUAGAUAUCAGGAGGAACACCGGUGGUGUAGACGGCUUUCUGGACCGACACUGCUAGGACGAAAGCGUGGGGAGCGAAUGGG